UUUGGCGGCUUGCCGCCAGAGAUUGACACAACAACGUAACUUGUCUAACUAACAAAUAUAAAAACUUUCAACAACGGAUCUCUUGGUUCUCGCAUCGAUGAAGAACGCAGCGAAAUGCGAUAAGUAAUAUGAAUUGCAGCCUUUGUGAAUCAUCGAAUCUUUGAACGCACAUUGCGCCUUGAGGUAUUCCUCAAGGCAUGCCUGUUUGAGCGUCAGCCUCCCUCAAACCCCCGGUUUGGCAGUGAGUGCACGCCAGUCUGCUCGAAAGAUAUACGCAACAUGUCUAGGAUUACCCAACGUGUGCGCGCAAUUUCUUCGACCUCAAAUCAGGUAGGACUACCCGCUGAACUUAAGCAUAUCAAUAAGCGGAGGAA
rnacentral:rRNA from 1 species